ACAUUGAAAAGUGCUUUUGCGUAGCUUACUCGCGAGUACAUAAAAUGCUAUCUGAUAUUUGUGCCAACGGUUAAUAUAGACGUUCUACUUUCAGGGACAGCUGACCUGCCGCCACCUUGCAAUGUGUCAUUUGUGUCUGAAAACUUUCAGCAUGCUCUGAAGUGGGAAGCCGGGGACCCUGGUUCAGUUGCUACAAACUACACAGUGGAAUAUAUAUCUUUUAACAAUGGAAACGAAUGGCAACCAGUACACCACUGCUCUCAUACCCCACAACAAAUGUGUGAUUUAACAGAAAUAUUUCCAGCGAUUUUGAAUACUUAUUGCAUUCGAGUUAAAGCGGUUACAGAGGCUGAGGACUCCAAGUGGAUUUCGACGGAUGAAUUCCAACCAUGCAGGGAUACAAAACUACGUGCAGCCAAUGCUCAUC